rnacentral:rRNA from 1 species
GCUUAGAGAGGGGUCAAUGUCCUAUCAGCUAGUUGGUAAGGUAAUGGCUUACCAAGGCUAAGACGGGUAGCCGGCCUGAGAGGGUGGUCGGCCACACCGGGACUGAGACACUGCCCAGACUCCUACGGGAGGCUGCAGUCGAGAAUCUUUCGCAAUGCCCGAAAGGGUGACGAAGCGACGCCGCGUGUGGGAAGAAGGCCUUCGGGUUGUAAACCACUGUCGGGAGUUAAGAAAUGUAAGGGUGUUAAUAGCAUCCUUACUUGACUAAGGCUCCGGAGGAAGCCACGGCUAACUCUGUGCCAGCAGCCGCGGUAAUACAGAGGCGGCAAGCGUUGUUCGGAAUUAUUGGGCGUAAAGAGCACGUAGGCGGCUUUGUAAGUCAGUUGUGAAAGCCUUCUGCUUAACGGAAGAACAGCAUCUGAUACUGCAAGGCUAGAGUGCGGAAGGG